rnacentral:lncRNA from 1 species
ACAGAUAAUAAUUCAUUAUUUGGUGAGAGCUACUCAAGAGACUGAGAUUGUCAAGGCUGAGUAGAGAGAAGAAAAGGAAAAUUCUGAAUUCUAGGUGAAAGCUGAGGAGGAGGAGCCAGAUAGAAGACACACAAGGGGAUGCUCAGAGAAGUAGAAGUAGAUUCAAGGCACAGAAUUAUUAGGGGAAUGAUUUGUUUAUAUGAUGAGAUUUUGAGUUACUUGAAAAGGAAAAGGAAAAAGAAUAAAAGAAAUGACUACAUAUACAAAGGAAGGGAUCAUUUAUGUAGCCAAGUCUAAAAGGUGGGAAUGGGCAGGACCACAGUAAUCAAAUCUUCAGAGAACUGGGAAGGGGUGAGGAUGAAAGUCAGCACACACAAGCUUUAAGGUUCAGUGAACCAGGAUGAUAGGAACCCUAACAUUCUCAGGAAAGCAGAAGGAACCUCAUCAUCUUCAGAGUAUAGAGUCGAAAGGGAAGUGUGGGACUUUAAGGGUGGGAAAAUUAGUCUGGCUCAGUCAGGAAUGGGCCAUCAGGGGUGAAUAAAGAGUGUGUGAAUCUGGUAGAGCCAGUGACUAAAAUGUUAUGUGUUUUCUUGAUGUAAGAAACAAAGUAAAUAGAUGUGAAACAUAUUUUCAAAUACUUUUCUUUAAAAUAACAUUAUUAGAUUGUUUUAGUCGCAACAAGAUAAGUUAAAAAAAAACACAGAUAUCCUCUGUUUACUUAUUUUUCCUGAGAAUAUGAUGAAUAUUUGGCAUGUUAAUCUGCCCUGGCAGCUCAGGAAGUUCAGGCGACUAACACUGAUAAGGCACGUUGCCACCACUGUGAGAACCUCCAUCUUUCAAAGAGGGGAAGGUUGUUUGUAUUUCUCCAGCGCUGCCAGAUCCACCUCUCCAAUUUCUGAUUCAUUCAACACUUAUCAAGUGGUUUUAUCCUCAAAUCCUCUAGGACAACUCCUUCCCUGGCCAACUGCUCUCCUCUUUGCCUAGGGAAUUAUCCAAAGCAAGAAGUGAUCGUACAUACCCUGGAUUCCCAGAUGAUCAUGGAGCAUGACCAUCAUCUGAGAGAUUAACUUCUGGACUGGAAGAGUUUAAAUCUGUUCUCAACGCUCAGACAUGCAUAGCCCCGGGAGGAACCCAGGGCCACAAGUGCAUUCAACGUACAGAUGAUCAGUGUGUCAAUGUAUCCUGCAUUGCACAUUAAUUCCCACAGCUAGCUGCAUUCUUCAUCGACACACAAGCCAAGCAAUCCACCACUAAGAGUCAUAAAAAGCACUUUGAACAACACAGAAAGACAAAAAUACAGCAACAUCAGAAAGGAUCAAUCACAGUGGGAGCAAGCCAACUGCCACAUAAUGGAAGGCACUCAAGCAACCCUAUGGAGAGUCCCACAAGGUAACUGAAGGUUCUGGCCAAAAGAUAGUGAAGAACUGAGGCUUCAUGUCAACAGCUGAGUGAGUGAACUUGAGAGCAGAUUCUCCAGCCCCAGUCAAGCCUUUGGAUUACUGCAGGCUUGGUCAAUCAUCUUUAUUUUGAUUUUAUGAGAGACCUCACUCCUGAACCACCAGGAUUAUGUUAAGGAUCAAGGAAAAGACAACUAGCAAGAGUGCUUUGUAAAUCAUAAUAUGCCAAAUACAAUCUUAACUAUAGUUCUGCAAAAAUAGGAAUGAUAUUAAAUUGAGAGUCAUAACUUGGAGUUGCCCUGACACCAGAGUCUAGAGAACACCUAAAUGAACCAGAGAAGAGGGCAGAAAAGGCAUCCCUUGGGGAAGAAAGAAGAUCUGGUGUACUAAAGAACUCUGCUGUGGAAUAAAAGAAUAAGAAUUAGGGUUUACUUGAUAGCUUCUAACAAAGGGUGUCAAGAAGUGCAAAACACCAAAGAAUAUCCCAGCAGUUAAGGGCAUGGACAUCAUUCUGCCUGGUUUUGAAUUCUGGCUCUGCCAUGUGACCAUGUGGCAAGCUAUCUGACCUUUCUGUGACUCUGUGUUCUCACCUGUGAAAAUGGAAAUAAUAAUUGUACCCAUCAGCCAGGCGUGGCAGAUCACACCUGUAAUCCCAGCAC